AAAUGUUAUCUUUCUGCACCAGCUAGUCCCACACGAAGUUACCAAAUUGUUACAUUUCAAGCACUUUCACCUGUUUUGAUUAAGUUCUAAAAAAUAAGCACCAAUAAUGAUUCAAAAUCUUGUUUCUAUUUUUUACCUUUUUAGGGCCCAAGCGCCAACAGCAGCAAAGGCCCUAUUGAAACUGAAGGAAUUAUUAGGGCCCGAGUGCCGACAGCGGCAAAGGCCCUAUUGAAACUGAAGGAAUUAUUGGGCCUGUCCCAAUACCUCCCCUUCCCCUAGAUUUUUGCCCUAACCCUCGUUUUUGCGUGUUCUCGUUUAGGGGUAGUGUGUCCCAAUACUUUAGGGAGCAAGGGGGAGUGCUAUUUUCCCCUUAAAAUCAACCCUCACCACAUAGUGAGGUCCGAUACAGGCUUAAAAUGAAGUGGGACAUGAAAUUACCCAGGAUACCUUCCAAACUCAGCGAGCCGGCCAACAUAUUUCAACAAAGAUGGCGGACACCGCUGGCAAGGAACAAUUUAAUUGUAAGUAUAUAUUCGCAAAUAAGCAUGUUAAAAUUUCGAAAUAUGUUGGAAUGUGUUAGUUUGAUACACAUCCAAAGGACUGUUGAGUUUUGAACACUAAUGUUAGAAAAUAUCUCACGAAGCUAGCUAAAGGGGAAGCUAACGGGCAAGCUAAAGGGGAAGCUAACGGGAAAGCUAACGGUAAAGUUUACGGGAAAGUUAACGUCUAUUCUAAUGACCGCUGCUCUGUUACAAACCGGAUCAUGCAUGCAACAGUAGGCUAUCCCGGUUUCAUUUAGAGUAACUGGGAUAGUGAUGUACAUGUAAACGGACUAAUCGGAUCGUAUUGACCAUUCAAAAAUCUGUCUUGUUCUCUUUUAUUAAUUUGCAAUUCACUAAAAGCUGCAACUGGUGUCUUAUGUUUAAGGGACUGUGGAGCACACCUUUGGCCUCAUCAGAUUCAGGGCAGAAAAUGAGAAGAGGUUUACAAAAAAAAAUUUACUUCCAAACUGCUGUUGGAGUGAGUGACCAGAUUGUACAAUUCAAUAACUGAUAACAAUAUCAAUGUCUGCUAAUGCUCUACCUCCCAGCUACAAUGCAUUUCGACACAGCUAUUCACAGCACGAGUGGCAGCAAAAAUUGUCCUGUCCUGUUAGUAGUGUCCUGGGACAGUCAGAUACUGUCCUGUAACUCCAUGUGUCUGACUGUCCCGGGACACUCCUCAGGACACUACUAACAGGACAGGACAGUUUUUGCUGCCACUGCUUCUUGCUAUUCAUCAUAUUUGUGUGUUUAUAGGAAAGCAGUGAAAGACCUGGGCCUGGAAGGAAAGAUUACAGGAGAGAAGGCAAGCAAGAAGUCGGUACAAGGACCUGAAACAACUGAAGACGGGCUCAGGUACAGACAGCGGUAAACAAACUGUAUCCAACUGGCAAUACUAUGAGGCGAUGCAUGCAGUUUUGGGGGAAGGCCAGCGAUAGAUCCUCCGGUGAUUGUGGCCUCUUUCAAGCUGUCAGAGGACCCCACAACAUUGUUAAUGAAGAAACAUGGAACCCCCUCAGUAAGACAUCUCUGCCUCUGCCUCUCAGCCUGGAUCUACUCUUCCUCCCACCACCCCAGUUCAUCCCACUACUCAUCGCCCGACCACUCCAGCUACUCCAGCCACCACAACCCCAUCUCCCAGAAAGAGAGGCAGUAAUCAAUCAGAAUCAGUUAAGGAGCAGAAAAGGCACGAGGAAACAGAGGCCAAAACGGACAGGUUUUUAACCCAAUUUGAAAAACUUGUGGACAAAAUGCCAAAAAAUUAGUUUUGUUGUGGUUAAAAAGUUCAGAUGUUAAAAUAUUCAAUAUUGAAUGUGCAAUAUUUUUAUUUAUAAAAUCCUCAGGUAAGUGUUGAGCAAUGUUUUUAUAUAAAUUGUUCGUUCUUUUAAAUUGAAGUGUCUUUGAACAGUGCAGUUUUUCAAUAAACCUCUUCAUGGGUUAAAGAAAAUGUGUUAGGUUUUUGACCAAUCACCAUCCCAAUACACAAAUUGCAUAUCUAGAUCAUUAUAAAAGA